AAGCAUCUUUCUCUGUUUCUCAGCUGAGUCUCUUUGGUGUGUGAAAAUUUUGAGUAAAAUUAGGGUUUUAACGAUUAAUUCACAAAUUCAUCAUGGUUUGAAGGUUUUGAUUCAUACCAUCUGAAAAGAGUUGAAAGGAGAAGAAAUUGACUACAUAAGCUUUGAAAAAAGGAUUCAUUGAGGGUUGUAGAAAUUGCAUUGGGUUAGAUGGUUGCUUUUUGAAGGGAAUAUCUAAAGGCCAGCUACUUGUUGCUAUUGCAAAGGAUGGGAAUAAUCAGAUGUUCCCAAUAGCAUGGGCUGUUGUUGGAACUGAAAGUAGAGAAACUUGGACUUGGUUUUUGAGAAUCUUGAAAUCUGAUUUGGACAUUAAUGAUGAAGGAGAAGGAUUGACUAUCAUAAGUGAUAUGCAAAAGGGAUUAUAUUUAGCUGUUCAGGAGUUGCUUCCAGAAUGUGAACAAAGAAUGUGUGCAAGACAUAUACUUGCAAACUGGUCAAAAAACUGGAAAGGUGUUGAGGAAAGAAAGAGGUUUUAGGCUUGUGCUAGAUCAACAUUUGAAG